UACUGCUCAGUAACACGUGGCUAACCUGCCCUCGGGACGAGAACACCCCCGGGAAACUGGGGCUAAUUCUCGAUAGGCGAAGAACUCUGGAAUGAGUCUUCACCCAAAAGACGUUUAGAUCAUGCUUUUAGGCGUCGCCCAAGGAUGGGGCCGCGACCGAUCAGGUUGUUGGUGAGGUAAUGGCUCACCAAGCCUUUAACCGGUGCGGGCCGUGGGAGCGGGAGCCCGGAGAUGGGCACUGAGACAAGGGCCCAGGCCCUACGGGGCGCAGCAGUCGCGAAAACUUUGCAAUAAGCGAAAGCUUGACAGGGCUAUCCCGAGUGCCAUCCGCUGAGGAAGGCUUUUACCCAGUCUAGUAAGCUGGGGGAAUAAGGAGAGGGCAAGUCUGGUGUCAGCCGCCGCGGUAAUACCAGCUCUCCGAGUGGUGUGGAUGUUUAUUGGGCCUAAAGCAUCCGUAGCUGGCUGAGUUAGUCCCCUGUUAAAUCCACCGAAUUAAUCGUUGGAUUGCGGGGGAUACUGCUCGGCUAGGGGACGGGAGAGGCAGACGGUAUUUUCGGGGUAGGGGUGAAAUCCUAUAAUCCCGGGAAGACCACCAGUGGCGAAGGCUGUCUGCUAGAACGCGCCCGACGGUGAGGGAUGAAAGCUGGGGUAGCGAACCGGAUUAGAUACCCGGGUAGUCCCAGCUGUAAACGAUGCAGGCUAGGUGUUUGGGCGGCCACGUGCCGCUCUAGUGCCGCAGGGAAGCUGUUAAGCCUGCCGCCUGGGGAGUACGAUCGCAAGAUUGAAACUUAAAGGAAUUGGCGGGGGAGCACA
rnacentral:rRNA from 1 species